rnacentral:lncRNA from 1 species
UUCCUUUCUUGAAAUCAGAGCAAGUAAUGUCCAGCAAGUAAUAAUGUUAAGCUCUGUCAUUGAUGGAGACAAAAUUAGUGCUGACAAUACCACUGGAGGAGCAGUAACAAUUAAGACCUUGAAUAUAUCAGAAAGCCUAAUGAGUUCUUAUUCCAUGGUUAAGUUUGUAAAGAAUAUUGAUCACUUGGAGAACAACUGUCAACAGUCGACUCAAGAAGACAAGUGUGCCAACUUGUCCAGGUCAGUAGAAGGUCCCAGUCAGCAUGCCAACUCAUCUUACAGCUCCCAAACAAACAUGCAUGGUCGACAACUGGAAUACAAUCGUCUUCCUGAUAUAACAGAAUCGUCCAUCACUGAAAACCAUUAAAGCUGCAUAUAUUUUUUGGGUUCUUCCAUCGUAAUCGACAGUGAAUGUUUGUUGUUUUCUUGUGUCAUUUGUGUUUUUCUUGAAUCUCUGU